CGCUGGCGGCGUGCUUAACACAUGCAAGUCGAACGGUAAGGCCCUUCGGGGUACACGAGUGGCGAACGGGUGAGUAACACGUGGGUGAUCUGCCCUGCACUUCGGGAUAAGCCUGGGAAACUGGGUCUAAUACCGGAUAGGACCAUGGACUUCGACGGUUUGUGGUGGAAAGCUUUUGCGGUGUGGGAUGGGCCCGCGGCCUAUCAGCUUGUUGGUGGGGUAAUGGCCUACCAAGGCGACGACGGGUAGCCGGCCUGAGAGGGUGUCCGGCCACACUGGGACUGAGAUACGGCCCAGACUCCUACGGGAGGCAGCAGUGGGGAAUAUUGCACAAUGGGCGCAAGCCUGAUGCAGCGACGCCGCGUGAGGGAUGACGGCCUUCGGGUUGUAAACCUCUUUCAAUAGGGACGAAGCGCAAGUGACGGUACCUAUAGAAGAAGCACCGGCCAACUACGUG
rnacentral:rRNA from 1 species